rnacentral:ncRNA from 1 species
CCUCCAUCCUCCCCGCACAGGAGGAUGGAACGAGGAACCGGCGCUCUCUGCCCUGACUGCGCCGAGACCUCCCACACGGCCGAGGGACCGCACACCCCCGGCCGGGCAACUCCGGGCUGCGGUGCCAGGCGGGCUGAGGGUCCCGCCGGGCGC